AAAAAAUAACUAAUUGCACAGUUUAAUUGUACAUCACGAGACGAAUCUUUUGAGCCUAAUUAGUCCAUAAUUAGAUAAAAUUUGUCAAAUACAAACGAAAGUACUACAGCAGCACUGUUGCAAAAAACUUAAACAAGGUCCUGGACUUAGGCCCUGUUCCUUUCCUGCCCUCUAAACUUUAGACCCAUCACAUCAAAAAGAAUCUUGCUAUUUAGAAGUAUUAAAUAAAAUCUGUUUAUAAAACUUUUUGCACAGCUGGGUGCUAAUUCGCGAGACAAAUUUAAUGAGCCUAAUUAAUCCAUAAUUUGCCACAGUGAUGCUAAAGUAAUCAUCCGCUAAUCAUGGACUAAUAUACCUCAUUAGAUUCGUCUCGCGAAUUAGCACUGGAGUUCUGCAAUUAGUUUUGUAAUUAGACUUUAUUUAAUACAUUCUUUUUGAUGUGACCUCUCUAAACUUUAGGCCCUAGGAAGUUUCACCCCUCUAAAACCC
rnacentral:lncRNA from 1 species